CGUCUCUGUUUAUGUUCAACACACCUCCAACAUAUUAUUCUGCUGUCCGCACGGAGAGCGAAGCAUUAAAAAUAAAAAUAAACAUUUUGGGGGAAUGUAACUUUGUACAGGAAGAAAGCUAACACGAAAGCGUCGUAUGAUUGGCCAUUCUGACUGUUUUUUUUUGUAUCAAACAUUGAGAUUUGUUGACAAAUUGCCUUUGUUAGCUGGUAACUCAACCAACUUGGUCUGAAGCGGCGGGUGGUAGAUGGUUGUCCCCCGCUCACUGAGCGGUGUGUCUCGGCAGGAGGAGCGCAUCGACUCCGCUGUCUGUAGGAACCCCCACCUAUCCAGAGUGUCUGUAGGAACCCCCACCUAUCCAAAGUGUCUGUAGGAACCCCCACCUAUCCAGAGUGUCUGUAGGAACCCCCACCUAUCCAGAGUGUCUGUAGGAACCCCC
ensembl:lncRNA